AAGUGGACCGCAGGGACUAAGCAAGUGAACCACAUGUAAUGAGAAGUGAGCUGCUUUCCGAGGUCAUAGUUAGUGAACCCAUAAAGACUAAAGAACUGCUUCGUGGGUGAGAGUAAACCCCGCGAUAGAAACUAGCGAACUACAUCUAAAAGGGAAUGGACUUCUUUGUGAUGUUUUUUAAUUGCCAUUUUACAAAGGAAACCACAGGAGUGCAUUGCACGCAUACAGACAACCGCAUUGCAAGCAUAUACACAAGUGAAACUGCCACGUAUGACAAUACAAAUUGUUUUCUCAAAAAACAUGAAGUGAUGGGGUGCACUACACACAUACACACAAUGCAUUGCAAGCAUACACAAAAGGAACUGCACGUGCAUGAUGCUCGGGGUCGUUAUCUUUGUCGGCGAGUGGUGUUUAAUAUUCCUUCUUUUUUCCCACACAAGUGAAAAAAUCCCUGCAACAAAGAACAGAAGUAAACCACCGUUGCACACCGUUCAAGUGAAACAUAGCAAGAAAAAAAGUGCACUACAAGGGAAAAUAAGUGAAUUUCUUGUGUAUUUUUUUAGAAAUUGAACCACAUUGCUUCAGAGUUAUCUGCAGUGCACUAGGGAAGAAAUGGAUCGCAGCAGCCUCAGGAAUUUCCUAUCCAUGCAUGGAAACUGCACGCCGCGCCCUACCAAUUGCUCGACGUCGCGCCAGGAAAUUUGGUCAAUUUUUCAUUUGACAGCGAACUACAAAACAAGAUUAAGUGAGCUUCAACACAAAAAUCAAAUUAACUGCAACAAUUGGAGGAGAGGCGGAUAGGGCUCUGCCUUGUGCCACGAGCAGCAGCAGCAACCUUCAGCAGCGGAGCAAGGAGCACCCGUGCCGUGGGGUAGGUGGAUCCGGUUGCCGUAGACGUGGAUCUCGGGCAGCACAAGGACGGAUGCAUAGGAGCCGAGGAGGUUACUCCUCGCCGCAACCCUCACUGGUGGAAGGAGAGACGCAGGGAUCCGGUGAUGACGAGGGGAGGGACGCAAUGGAGGAGAUCCGGCCGGGCCUCCACGGGAACCGGCGCGGGGGCUCAACAAGGAUGUGCCGAUGUGGGGUGGGAGGAGCUAGGUGGAGGAGGAUCCCGCCGGAUCCGGUGGCCGCGGGAGGAGCCUGGAGAUGGGAAAGCCACGGCGGGGGCGGCAUGCCCGGAUCCACGCUGGCAGUUGCGCUGGGCACCUGGGAGGAGGGAGGUGGCCGGCUCAGGAGGUCGCAUCCGGGUAGGUGGCCGGACGGGGGUGGGAGGAGGGAGGUNN
rnacentral:lncRNA from 1 species